CAACCCUCGAGCCCCCGUGGCCCGGCGUUGGGGAUCUGCCACGGCAGGCCCCUAAAACCAGUGGCGGACCCGCUGGGCCCUCUCCUUUGCGUAGUAGCAUCAGCCUCGCAUCGGGAGCCCUCGGCGUCCUGCCUCUAAACCCCCCACAAGCCCGCUCCGGCGGCACCAA
rnacentral:misc_RNA from 1 species